ensembl:lncRNA
UUUACAUGUUUCAUGAGAUUCAGACAAAUAAAUUCUCUCAACUGGCCAAUUAAUUCUUCAAAAUGAUUAAUGCAGUAAUUUCUAUUAAGAGAGAAAGCAGCUGAUUCUGUGCUGAUGUUUUAUUUCAGGGCCAAAGACUGCAGCUGUGACCUCUAGUGUGACCUCUAAUGUGACCUCUAAUGUGACCUCUGCAGUAACCAACAGCUCACAAGCAUCAGAAAAUGUUUUACUCUAUAUGAUUGCUUUUGGCUGCGUUGCUCUGAUCCUGAUUCUGCUGUUCAUCGUCAUAUGUUACGUUUACAAGAAAAAACAUCGGAAGUCAACACCAGGUCAGUCAGUUUUGAAUCUGUAGUUCAUAUACGAACUGAUGAAGGUUAAAAUGUAGUACUAUUCAAUGCAAGCAGCAAUUACAGAGCCAAACACAUGGGUUAUUAUGCCUUAAAAUGCGUAGAAAAUUUGUAGCUUAUAAUGAUGUCUCAGAUCAUCUUCAUAACAUCUGUAAUGUUUCUACUUUUGGUUUAAUUGUCUUUGAAACUGUCAAUCCUAAAUGGUAAAUGUCAUAUUUUUGUGGAACCUCUUAAAAUGAACCUGUAAGUCUUUACUUCAAUCACAUCUUGAUUGUUUUAUUUCAAAUCCAUUGUAGUGGUGUAUAAAGCGCAAAAGCACAAAAACUCAGGCAGAGUCUGAAUACUUCUUGACCUGACUGUAUGUAUUGAAUUGAUUUGUUUGGGCACUGAACUCCCUUACAAACAGUUUCAAAGAAAAUUACACAAAAAGUAGAAACAUUAUAGAUGUUAUGAAGAUAAUCUGAGACAGUUUUGGUGGAGAUUUGACAAACUUUCUGUGGUUAAAAUUGGUUCAAAAUGGCAGAAAGGCUAUAAACAAUAUUCCUCAAGCAUCUUGAAUGUAUAGAAAGAAAAAUCUUUAGUUUCAACCAGAUUAUUAGAUUUUAAUGAUUUUGGCUAUUUAUUUUUUGGCUAGUAAUACUUAAGUAUGAUCUUGUAUGAAUAGAAAGGUU